CAAUGGAGUUGGAGGAUGCGUUCGAGCGGCAUCGACGGAUGGACGUGAAAGACAAAGAUUGGGAUGCCACUUUGGAUAUCGUCGCCACCGCGGGGCUGUGGCGCCACCAAGCGAGCACGAGACGACACCGACAUGGGAGGGCGAGCGGCAUCUGGACCGGUCACCGGGCCUCCCGCUUCACCAACAAACCGUCACUGCCCAGCGCGGCGAAGUAUGGUCAAAGAGGCGCCGUGAUCGAAGAGGUGCGUGACGUCAUUUAUGGACGCCCCCUCCGAAAUACAGAGGCUCGAAGCGGGGCCCAUUACCCCCGGCAAGGAAUUCCAGCCCCUUGCGGGCAACACUCGAGGAAGUUGACACCCUUACUUCUAAAAUAUCUCAAACACAUUCCUGCGGAGGGAGCUGGUAGGAACGUUGGGUUGCUCGGUCAAUGGCCUGCAGGGUCAACGGCGGCGUGGUGUAUUCCGCAAAUAUGCCCGACUGUGAGGGCGGACACAAGCCGGCGUGAGUAGGUUAAACGUUGAUUUUUAUAAGGGCACCACGGGGUGACCAGCCCCACCCCUCGCACGCCCCACCCAGCCCCACCCCUCCCACCCAGCCCCUCCCUACCCUCCCAGCCCCUCACCACCCUCCUCACCCAGCCCCUCCCCACCCUCCCCUCCCCACCCAGCCCCACCCCUCCCACCC